rnacentral:rRNA from 1 species
GACGAACGCUGGCGGCGUGCUUAACACAUGCAAGUCGAACGGAAAGGCCCUGCUUUUGUGGGGUGCUCGAGUGGCGAACGGGUGAGUAACACGUGAGUAACCUGCCCUUGACUUUGGGAUAACUUCAGGAAACUGGGGCUAAUACCGGAUAGGAGCUCCUGCUGCAUGGUGGGGGUUGGAAAGUUUCGGCGGUUGGGGAUGGACUCGCGGCUUAUCAGCUUGUUGGUGGGGUAGUGGCUUACCAAGGCUUUGACGGGUAGCCGGCCUGAGAGGGUGACCGGCCAAAUUGGGACUGAGAUGCGGCCCAGACUCCUACGGGAGGCAGCAGUGGGGAAUAUUGCACAAUGGGCGGAAGCCUGAUGCAGCAACGCCGCGUGCGGGAUGACGGCCUUCGGGUUGUAAACCGCUUUCGCCUGUGACGAAGCGUGAGUGACGGUAAUGGGUAAAGAAGCACCGGCUAACUACGUG